GCAGUCCACGGGCAUAUACACU
rnacentral:ncRNA from 3 species